rnacentral:rRNA from 1 species
AACGAACGCUGGCGGCAGGCUUAACACAUGCAAGUCGAGCGCCCCGCAAGGGGAGCGGCAGACUGGUGAGUAACGCGUGGGAAUCUACCCAUCUCUACGGAAUAACGCAUGGAAACGUGUGCUAAUACCGUAUACGUCCUUCGGGAGAAAGAUUUAUCGGAGAUGGAUGAGCCCGCGUUGGAUUAGCUAGUUGGUGGGGUAAAGGCCUACCAAGGCGACGAUCCAUAGCUGGUCUGAGAGGAUGAUCAGCCACACUUGGACUGAGACACGGCCCAGAGUCCUACGGGAGGCAGCAGUGGGGAAUAUUGGACAAUGGGCGCAAGGCUGUUCCAGCCACGCCGCGUGAGUGAUGAAGGCCCUAGGGUUGUACAGCUCUUUCACCGGUGAAGAUAAUGACGGUAACCGGAGAAGAAGCCCCGGCUAACUUCGUGCCAGCCGCCGUGGUAAAAC